CGGUGAUCGCACAAUAAAAAUAACUAACGAAGUGAACCGUCUCUUAUUAGGUGAUUUACCGAGUAUCAAGGAACCUCGUUCCUAUUUUGAGUCGCUAGAAGAAGGUGAAAUGUAUAAAUAAUGGACAUGUUUUUACCUUCUCUUUUAUUAGAAUGAACUUUUAUGAUUUCAUUGAAAAGAAUCUAUCAUAUUUUUAGAUACAUGAUUGCUGCGAAGAGGAAAACAUGGUCUUUCUAAGAGCAAAUGGAUUGACUGUUUGGUUUGCAAAUCUAUGUAAAAGCAAUUCUGAAAAUCAGUCAUGAACGACACAAAGUCGUGAAAACACCAUUUCUUUACUAUUUAUUAGGGGUUUAAGUUGACACAAGGUGACUUUAAAGAGGUUUUCUAAAUCCAGAGUCUUCAUUACUAGACAAUGUAUACUAAGGUGAUUGUGUAAAUCGCAACAAGAGCUAUGAUUUGACUUAUUAAGCUUUAGCUUCAAGAUUUUCUUCAAUGUUUUACCUUUUUGAAAUUUUCAUUUCGAGACUGAGCCUGUAAAGUACUGUCUAUUUGGAACAGUCUUUUUCCUUUUCAGCUUAAAUCGUUUUAAAAUGGAGGAUGUUGCAUAACCCAGUGCACAAUUGUAAUAAGACAGUGAAUUGGAGAAUGAAACUAAUAAUUUGUCUCUUCUCUACGCUGAAUUUCUACAUGCAACUACAUCUUUUUGAUUUUCCGAACGAUCAUCCAUAUACCGAAAGAUCGGCAUGAAAUGAAUUGACAAGUGUUACUUUGAUAUAAUAAAGAUGUAGCAAAUGAAAAUUUGGAUAAAUCAGGACUUUUGAAUUUAAAUUGAAACAAUCCAAAAGUGUGAUCGGUGUUUUCGUUUAGGAUUUUACUACUUAAAAGGGCAAAUGUCAAUUUUGCAAUUCCUUUUUUGAAUAUUUAGAUACAUGAAGGGAUGUAUUCUUGGCUUUUAAAACAGAUUGAUUUUCCAUGGCUGAAUUUUAUCAAUUUUCUUGACAUUCUAAAGUUUUUUGCUCCAUUAAGGAUACACUCAUUCUAAUAGGUAUACACAGAGGAUUUCCAGUUUUCAGGAUCCCCAGUUCUUGCUAUAUUCAAUCGUACAGGUUUAUGAAAUCUCAACUUAUAGCGAUUGCUUCGAUUGAAAACAUCGAUGCUUGAAAACUAAUCACCAGUUCUCAAUUUUUUUGGUUUUGUGGGAAUGUGGAAUACUUAAGAUAAUUCUCAGUCAUGAGCUUGAUUCUUCAUUCUGGGAUUUAUUCCCGUCUUUUUUGGAGGAAAUCUUGAAACUUUACUAUUAUGUACUGUUGUUUUCUUUCUUUUCAAAUUGCUUUUCACAGAUGCUAUGUAUUUUAGCCAUUCAAAGCUUCAAGUACAAUACAGUAUUAGAAAGCCUAACCAUUAAUGAUAAUUGAUUGGUUUCAUAAACAAACAUUUAUGAGCAUAUCUAAUUAUAUGGAUGCAAUCCUUUCACGUUGCAAAUGUGAAAACAUUGAGAAUCAACCAUUCCAAACAUCUCCCACAUGCUAUUUCCCAUGACCUGUUUAUAGAAAUUUUAUAUUACAUAAAGCAGUUAUUGUUAAAUUUACUUGGAACGACAGAGAAAACCCAUAUUCGUGAAUCGUAAAAUUGCUUUCUUUCACUAUUU
rnacentral:lncRNA from 1 species